UCCUAAAUUAUGUUAGCUAAACUCUUAACCAUGUUUGGUUCAUAAAUUUACAAGCCUUUUCCACCUACAUAGCCAUGUGUAAUGGGUAUUACAUGACUCCACAGUUUAGAAGCAUUUAGUUACAUACCAUUUUAAUUAUGGAUUUGCCUUGUUCCUCUCUGUCAACUUUUGAUGAUCUCUUGAUUUAUUUCUUUAACUCUUACUCUCCCAAUUUUUUUUAUUGAUUUCCACUCAGUUUCUGUAGCAACACAAACCGAGGAAAACACAAAAAGUGGACCUCCCAUGUGUGUACAUGUAAUUUUAAGAGGAGAGAGAUAGAGAGUAAGAGAUUUCCGUAAGGUGGGUAGUAGUCUAGUAGAUGAUGAAAACUGACUAAAAGAUAUCCAUAAAGGGAAUAAAGUAAAAUUGAGUGGAAAUCAGAAAAAUGAACGAAAAACAAAAGUGAGUUGAAAUCUAGAAAAUGAAGGUAGUAGCAGUUAUAUGUCCUUUAUAGAAUUUUGAAUCCAUAAUCUAGUAUCAUGGGCAUGGAAAGAGGGGAACAGAAUAGGGAGGGAUGAAGUUUAAGGUAGUGGAAUGAGACAAAAAAAACCCUAAAUUGCAUGGUGAAGCUAAUGCUAAUAGUUUUUUUUAUUUAGUUCUUUCAAAGACUUAUCAGGCUCUACUAUUUCCAGUGCUUGAAUAAGUUAGUUAUUCUUGGUUCAACUGUGAAAACUGAAAAGUGUGUUUCUUGUAAGAUAUAUUCAGGGUUACUUAUUCUAUACUGCUUAUUGAGCUGGGUAUGUGUCUGUUCUUAUUAAUGAUGAUGGUUAUGAUACUUUUCUGCUACUAAGGGGGCAUCUGCUGGAAUCAUGGUUCAAGUCCUGCCAGCAUGCAGCAACGCAGCAUCUGCUGACUCUAUGAUGAGUGUCAAAACUGAACCAAACCCUGGUUUUGCAGCAAAGCAAGCCCAUUCUAAUCUCUCAUUUUCUGGCCUUACUGGAGAUAGCAGUGGUGGGGACUAUCAGGACUGUGGAGCUUCUGCAGCGCUUUUACUUGGAGAGCCACCCUGGUUCCCUCCCUGUCCUGAUAGUUCCUUCCAAUCCACUAGUCGAACUGAAGCUGUUAUGCGAUACAAGGAGAAAAAGAAGGCCCGGAAGUUUGAGAAAAGAGUGAGAUAUGCAUCCCGGAAAGCCAGGGCUGAUGUUAGGAAGCGUGUGAAGGGCCGAUUUGUCAAAGCUGGUGAAGCUUAUGAUUAUGAUCCUCUGAAUACCAGGAGCUACUGAAGACUAAAUUCUUAGAUUUGAGUGUGUAAGCAACAUAAUCUUUGGUGUACAAAGUAUGUGGUUCACUGCAGCUUUUGGUUUCUGGCCUGUUAUUUUAUUGUACAUCUGGAACAUAUAUGAUGGUUAUGAAAUAGCCAUCAACAAUUCAACAUGAAGGGUGGCUCUGCCUUAGCAUCAGAUGGUUUGCACUCGGAGUAUUGAGUAUAGUCUCUGUCGUUGACAAUAUGCUCCCAUCAUUUUGAUUAGUCUUUCCAGAUUCUCCUGCUGGCAAAUUCUGGCACCUGAUACAUGCCAGGUAUUAAUGUAUAAUUGUCUGCUAGGAAAUCACAACUUCAUAUGGCUUCUUAUUCUCUUCUAUGUACGUCUGCCAUAGCUUUCUAUGGCGUCUUAUCACCAUUGUAUCACCAUUGUAUGUAGAACCGAAAGUCCUAUAAGGGGAACUGGUGAGCGUUCCUUUAUUUAUUUUUGCAGAGGAGUUGUAGGUGUUUGGGUAAUUUUCUCUGUAGAAUUUAUGUACAUUGCUUGUUUUUUUCGCGGAAGUAACCGUAGAGUUGCAAGUGUAAAUUGUAAUCUAUUGUAAUCAUAGGAUAUAUUUGGUUUUGCAAUAAUAAUAUUUUGGCAUUUCAGGUGUC